CCUACGGGUGGCAGCAGUGGGGAAUAUUGCACAAUGGGGGAAACCCUGAUGCAGCGACGCCGCGUGAGUGAAGAAGUAUCUCGGUAUGUAAAGCUCUAUCAGCAGGGAAGAAAUAGCGACCUUUGGGUCGCCAGACGGUACCUGCUUAAGAAGCCCCGGCUAACUACGUGCCAGCAGCCGCGGUAAUACGUAGGGGGCAAGCGCUAUCCGGAUUUAUUGGGUGUAAAGGGAGGGUAGACGGCAGCUUAAGUCUGAAGUGAAAUGCCGGGGCUUAACCCCGGAACUGCCUUGGAAACUGGGCAGCUAGAGUGCAGGAGAGGUAAGUGGAAUUCGUGGUGUAGCGGUGAAAUGCGUAGAUAUUAGGAGGAACACCAGUGGCGAAGGCGGCUUACUGGACUGUAACUGACGUUGAGGCUCGAAAGCGUGGGGAGCGAACAGGAUUAGAUACCCUAGUAGUC
rnacentral:rRNA from 1 species